rnacentral:rRNA from 1 species
AGGACGAACGCUGGCGGCGUGCUUAACACAUGCAAGUCGAGCGGUAAGGCCCUUUCGGGGGUACACGAGCGGCGAACGGGUGAGUAACACGUGGGUGACCUGCCCUUAGCUCUGGGAUAAGCCUGGGAAACUGGGUCUAAUACCGGAUAUGACCUCAUGACGCAUGUUGUGGGGUGGAAAGCCUUGUGCGGCUAGGGAUGGGCCCGCGGCCUAUCAGCUUGUUGGUGGGGUGAUGGCCUACCAAGGCGACGACGGGUAGCCGGCCUGAGAGGGCGACCGGCCACACUGGGACUGAGACACGGCCCAGACUCCUACGGGAGGCAGCAGUGGGGAAUCUUGCGCAAUGGGCGAAAGCCUGACGCAGCGACGCCGCGUGAGGGAUGACGGCCUUCGGGUUGUAAACCUCUUUCAGCCCUGACGAAGCGAAAGUGACGGUAGGGCAGAAGAAGCACCGGCCAACUACGCGCCAGCAGCCGCGGUAA